rnacentral:rRNA from 1 species
GACGUAGGAUGCAAGCGUUGUCCGGAUUUAUUGGGCGUAAAGAGUUCGUAGGUGGUUUGUUAAGUCUGAUGUUAAAGAUCGGGGCCCAACCCCGGGAGUGCAUUGGAUACUGGCAGACUGGAGUGUAGUAGAGGCAAGCGGAAUUCCCAGUGUAGCGGUGAAAUGCGUAGAUAUUGGGAAGAACACCAGUGGCGUAAGCGGCUUGCUGGGCUAUAACUGACGCUGAGGAACGAAAGCCAGGGGAGCGAAU